GGCUGUUCGCGUUUACCCCUGAACGCCUUUCCCCCCUCCUGGAGGUCUCGCACGGUCCUAGACAGCAUCUCACCCCUCUUGUCCCGGCUGCCGCUGCUGUGUGAGAGCUCUUCACGCCCCAGCGAAACUCCUCACAGGUUUCUUUGCAAAGACGUUUUUGAUAAACGGAUAGAUGUGGCUCGAAUGUAUUUUUUUUUUUUUCAGUAGUCGGGCUUGAAACCUUCCCUUCUGCAUACUUUUUUGGUCUGAUCACGGUCCUAGACAGCAUCUCACCCCUCUUGUCCCGGCUGCCGCUGCUGUGUGAGAGCUCUUCACGCCCCAGCGAAACUCCUCACAGGUUUCUUUGCAAAGACGUUUUUGAUAAACGGAUAGAUGUGGCUCGAAUGUAUUUUUUUUUUUUUCAGUAGUCGGGCUUGAAACCUUCCCUUCUGCAUACUUUUUUGGUCUGAUAUAAACACACAGUCACGUGUUCUUGAAGAGUUGGAACAAACCUGUGUACAUGAGUAAUGAUUACUAAUGAUAAUGUUAUUAAUGAUUACUUGUACUGUCUAAAUAUUCAUUUUCAAGAGAUGAAAUCUACUGCUGCAACAGCAUUGGUCCGUGUCUAUGUUUCUGCUAGCUGUUGAUCAGUUCCUGUCUUCUGGCUACUUCGCUGUGUUUUACCAGGUUAUCCCUCGCUUGACGGACGCGGUUUUCAGCCCCGGUUGCCCGUUGCAUGUGCUUUCCUCCUCUCCCAGGGAAAAGGAAAAAAUGUAGUCAUUCCCCUCCCCCAGCCCAGUUUGAGUCUGUUGUGGAAGCUACGUAAAUGCGUCGUGCCAGGCGGACGUGGCCUAUGGCCCGUAUGUUUGACAUCGUUGUGCUGAAGCUUUAUAACAAUCUGCCAGUGAGGUCUGCACAGGAAGUCCCAGUUACUCUUAUGCAUCACUUUGACUGUGUAUCAAGCUGGCUGAUGAAGGCUCUCAGGUUUGUUUGCUUUGAUUCUGUUUCAUUCGAGGCCUUAAAAAUAAUUUGCUAAGGAAACUAAAAUUGUAUGAAAGUUCUCUUUUGUGUUGUGGCUCGUGAAUAUUAAUCGAUGUUUUAAGGAGCAAAAUGAUGAAUGUUUGUUUUGACGAGUUUAGUUAUCAUCCAAGUGCAAUGUUAAUCUAAUUCUAGAUCAGAAAUCUGAUGUAUCAAAUCCUGUUUUUAUCACCUCAGUGUUACUGUUUUAGUAAAGGAAAAUAGGGAACAUGAAACAUGCAGUAUAUAUAAUGGAAAAUGAAAGAAUGCUAUAUUUGAGACAUUGAUCAUCUUGUAAAAGGGGCUGUGGCUACUUUUAUUGACUUCUAGUGCAAUAUGGUCCUGAAGGAUUAAGGACCUUGUGGAUCCAGGUACCCAAAUGUUACAUCAGCUAGUCUCAGUGAACUUCCAAUUUAAAUGUAAGAUGCACUGUAACCAAAAGGUGUAACAAUCAGAAAAAAACCAGGAAAGUGAGAACAAGAACGACGUAGGCUGGUUUAUGACUGAUUUGUGAUUGAGGAUCUUCUAGAAAACCCCCAAAAGUUAUAUAUGAGAAGAUUUUCAUGAUCUCUUUUUGGCUGUCUGCUUAUUUAUUAUUAGUUGGCUUCAUAUCGUUACUUGACAUGCUUCUUAAGGACUGAGAAAAGCUCAAAUGUCACCAAUUUUAGGAAAGUGGGAAUAAAAGUUUUCAAAUAACUUGAUGCA
ensembl:lncRNA